GAUGAACGCUAGCUACAGGCUUAACACAUGCAAGUCGAGGGGUAACGAGAGGAAAGCUUGCUUUCCUUGUCGACGACCGGCGCACGGGUGAGUAACGCGUAUCCAACCUGCCCCCAACUAGGGAAUAACCUUGCGAAAGUAAGACUAAUACCCUAUAAUUUCCUCAGAUGCCAUCUGACGAGGAAUAAAGAUUUAUCGGUUGUGGAUGGGGAUGCGUCUGAUUAGCUUGUUGGCGGGGUAACGGCCCACCAAGGCAACGAUCAGUAGGGGUUUUGGGAGGAAGUUCCCCCACAUUGGAACUGAGACACGGUCCAGACUCCUACGGGAGGCAGCAGUGAGGAAUAUUGGUCAAUGGGCGGAAGCCUGAACCAGCCAAGUAGCGUGCAGGAUGACGGCCCUAUGGGUUGUAAACUGCUUUUAUACAGGAAUAAAGUUAGCCACGUGUGGUUAUUUGUAGGUACUGUAUGAAUAAGGACCGGCUAAUUCCGUGCCAGCCGCCGCCGUAA
rnacentral:rRNA from 1 species